GACGAACGCUGGCGGCGUGCUUAACACAUGCAAGUCGAACGAAGAGCGAUGGAAGCUUGCUUCUAUCAAUCUUAGUGGCGAACGGGUGAGUAACGCGUAAUCAACCUGCCCUUCAGAGGGGGACAACAGUUGGAAACGACUGCUAAUACCGCAUACGAUCUAACCUCGGCAUCGAGGAUAGAUGAAAGGUGGCCUCUACAUGUAAGCUAUCACUGAAGGAGGGGAUUGCGUCUGAUUAGCUAGUUGGAGGGGUAACGGCCAACCAAGGCGAUGAUCAGUAGCCGGUCUGAGAGGAUGAACGGCCACAUUGGGACUGAGACACGGCCCAGACUCCUACGGGAGGCAGCAGUGGGGAAUCUUCCGCAAUGGACGCAAGUCUGACGGAGCAACGCCGCGUGAGUGAUGACGGCCUUCGGGUUGUAAAGCUCUGUUAAUCGGGACGAAAGGCCUUCUUGCGAAUAGUGAGAAGGAUUGACGGUACCGGAAUAGAAAGCCACGGCUAACUACGUG
rnacentral:rRNA from 1 species